rnacentral:tRNA from 1 species
GAGAGGGUUUAACUAGGCUGCUAACCUGGUACUCCAAAAUUAACCACUUGGCCCUCUUCA